rnacentral:rRNA from 1 species
AUUGAACGCUGGCGGCAUGCCUUACACAUGCAAGUCGAACGGCAGCACGGGAGCAAUCCUGGUGGCGAGUGGCGAACGGGUGAGUAAUAUAUCGGAACGUGCCCAGUCGUGGGGGAUAACGUAGCGAAAGCUACGCUAAUACCGCAUAUGAUCUAUGGAUGAAAGCGGGGGAUCGCAAGACCUCGCGCGAUUGGAGCGGCCGAUAUCAGAUUAGGUAGUUGGUGAGGUAAAGGCUCACCAAGCCGACGAUCUGUAGCUGGCCUGAGAGGACGACCAGCCACACUGGGACUGAGACACGGCCCAGACUCCUACGGGAGGCAGCAGUGGGGAAUUUUGGACAAUGGGCGCAAGCCUGAUCCAGCAAUGCCGCGUGCAGGAUGAAGGCCUUCGGGUUGUAAACUGCUUUUGUACGGAACGAAACGGCGAGCUCUAAUACAGUUUGCUAAUGACGGUACCGUAAGAAUAAGCACCGGCUAACUACGUGCCAGCAGCCGCCGUAA